CCAUAAUUUUAUAGCAAUUUCAAAGUAAACUGUUGAACUGACCAUGAACAUCCUUAAAACAGUUACACUUCCAGUGUUACUGGUAUUUCUAGCAUCUUUACCAAUGGUAACACCUAGACGAAGCUGUUUCAGACCCAGAGGGUGCAUACAUAUGCCGCGGAGAAUAGUGCAUUAGGGCAAAGUGCAUAUUAAUUUUUCAUGAAAAAAAAAAACGUUUUACUAUUAUGUGAAUGUUGGUGGACAAGUCAAAAAGGCUUAAAAAUUAUUUUGAAAAAUAAUUUACUAUAAGAAGUAAUUUGGAAAUAUAUAAAUUGGAAAUAUAUAAAUUGGCUACCUAAAUCUGAA
rnacentral:sRNA from 1 species